CACGUAGGGCGCAAGCGUUGUCCGGAAUUAUUGGGCGUAAAGAGCUCGUAGGCGGUCUGUUGCGUCCGCUGUGAAAACUCGGGGCUUAACCCCGAGCCUGCAAUGGAUACGGGCAGACUAGAGGUAGGUAGGGGAGAAUGGAAUUCCCGGUGUAGCGGUGAAAUGCGCAGAUAUCGGGAGGAACACCGGUGGCGAAGGCGGGUCUCUGGACAGUUCCUGACACUGAGGCACGAAGGCCAGGGGAGCAAACGGG
rnacentral:rRNA from 1 species